CAUAUACCGCGGUCAGUCAAGCGAAAAUUAGAACAGGGACCUCUGGGACCUGGUCAAAGUUGUGAAGAUAACUUAGGUAAUUGCUGAUAGGUCGUAACCCAACUUAACAAAAUUUUAUAGGAGACACAAAAAAGUUUAAACGAUAAUGUGGGAUACGACAUAUUGUAAGAAAUGCAAUAGAGACUUACGAGACAAUGGAACAAUGGAAUAGUAUAUUAUCGUAUACCUAGUAGGAAAACAUUCCCGGAUGACCGUAAGGAUUGCCGGGCAAUACGGGAGUCCGUGAAUGUGGAAUUUCCUACGAGGUAUACAGGGUGAUCUGUUUAAAAACUGAUGACCUGCUUAAAAACUCAAAUGGAACUGGGCUGGGCAUAUUGCCAGAAGAACGGAUGAUAGAUGGACCAAGCUAAUACUAGAAUGGCGG